rnacentral:RNase_P_RNA from 1 species
AGGGUGAAAGGGUGCGGUAAGAGCGCACCGCGCGGCUGGUAACAGUCCGUGGCACGGUAAACUCCACCCGGAGCAAGGCCAAAUAGGGGUUCAUAAGGUACGGCCCGUACUGAACCCGGGUAGGCUGCUUGAGCCAGUGAGCGAUUGCUGGCCUAGAUGAAUGACUGUCCACGACAGAACCCGGCUUAUCGGUCAGUUUCACCU